CGUGUACGUACAAGCAGUGGGAGCCUCUUAAUGGGGUGACUGCGUACCUUUUGUAUAAUGGGUCAGCGACUUAUAUUCUGUAGCAAGGUUAACCGAAUAGGGGAGCCGAAGGGAAACCGAGUCUUAACUGGGCGUUAAGUUGCAGGGUAUAGACCCGAAACCCGGUGAUCUAGCCAUGGGCAGGUUGAAGGUUGGGUAACACUAACUGGAGGACCGAACCGACUAAUGUUGAAAAAUUAGCGGAUGACUUGUGGCUGGGGGUGAAAGGCCAAUCAAACCGGGAGAUAGCUGGUUCUCCCCGAAAGCUAUUUAGGUAGCGCCUCGUGAAUUCAUCUCCGGGGGUAGAGCACUGUUUCGGCAAGGGGGUCAUCCCGACUUACCAACCCGAUGCAAACUGCGAAUACCGGAGAAUGUUAUCACGGGAGACACACGGCGGGUGCUAACGUCCGUCGUGAAGAGGGAAACAACCCAGACCGCCAGCUAAGGUCCCAAAGUCAUGGUUAAGUGGGAAACGAUGUGGGAAGGCCCAGACAGCCAGGAUGUUGGCUUAGAAGCAGCCAUCAUUUAAAGAAAGCGUAAUAGCUCACUGGUCGAGUCGGCCUGCGCGGAAGAUGUAACGGGGCUAAACCAUGCACCGAAGCUGCGGCAGCGACACUAUGUGUUGUUGGGUAGGGGAGCGUUCUGUAAGCCUGUGAAGGUGUACUGUGAGGUAUGCUGGAGGUAUCAGAAGUGCGAAUGCUGACAUAAGUAACGAUAAAGCGGGUGAAAAGCCCGCUCGCCGGAAGACCAAGGGUUCCUGUCCAACGUUAAUCGGGGCAGGGUGAGUCGACCCCUAAGGCGAGGCCGAAAGGCGUAGUCGAUGGGAAACAGGUUAAUAUUCCUGUACUUGGUGUUACUGCGAAGGGGGGACGGAGAAGGCUAUGUUGGCCGGGCGACGGUUGUCCCGGUUUAAGCGUGUAGGCUGGUUUUCCAGGCAAAUCCGGAAAACCAAGGCUGAGGCGUGAUGACGAGGCACUACGGUGCUGAAGCAACAAAUGCCCUGCUUCCAGGAAAAGCCUCUAAGCAUCAGGUAACAUCAAAUCGUACCCCAAACCGACACAGGUGGUCAGGUAGAGAAUACCAAGGCGCUUGAGAGAACUCGGGUGAAGGAACUAGGCAAAAUGGUGCCGUAACUUCGGGAGAAGGCACG
rnacentral:rRNA from 1 species